rnacentral:rRNA from 1 species
AUGCCAAACUUCAAGAAAGUUGUUGUUGAUGCAUGGAACGAAAGGGUGAGCCACCAUGACCCAUGCCAAAUUCUUUUCCACAAGUUGAAGACAGCUAGUCAGAGAUUGAGGUGCUGGCGUAGGAAGCUCUUCUCUCACCAUAAAGUCCAACUCCACAUGGCUCUCGAGGUCAUCCUGUGCUUGGACAUGGCACAAGAAAUUCGGGCCUUGAGCAACGACGAGCAAGAUAUAAGGAAACAGCUCAAGCGGAAGGUUGUCGCUCUGGCUGUCCUAGAGCGAGCUAGAAAAAAGCAAUCCUCAAGGAUAACCUUGCUUAAAGAGGGGGAUGCCAAUAUGCGUUUUUUCCAUCUUCGAAUCCAUCGGCGGAGACGGAAAAACUUUAUCCAUCGUCUCCGGCACAACCAAGGAUGGGUUACCAAUCGUGACGACAAGAAAGCCAUUGUCCAUGAGCACUUCUUCAUGGUCAUUCAUAAGGGGGCGGCAUGGUCAAAAGAUUUCAACUGGGAGGCCAUUCCAACCCAGCCAUGUGACCUUGCGGAUGUGGACCUACCAUUCACUGAAGAGGAAACUAAAGCGGCUAUUUUCUCCCUACCAAGUAGACUGAUCCGUGUGUCCUUGUACGCCGAUGAUGAUGCCAUCUUCGUUGCACCCACUAAAAGUGAUAUUCAAUUCUUGGCAUCGACAUUGGCCUCUUUUGGGGAGGUCACCGGCUUGGUCACCAAUUGUGCAAAGAGUCUCGUUGCGCCUAUCCGUUGUGAGGGCAUCGAUCUUCAGGAUGUUCUACAUGACUUUCCAGCAGUUCGCUCCAGCUUCCCAGACAGAGACAUUUUCGCGGCUGCCACCAUGGUUCACAUCGGAGACGGUUGCAGCGCGAGCUUCUGGAACUCCUCUUGGCUGGAUGGGAUCAGGCCUAAAGACAUUGCACCCGCUCUCUACGACAUCUCUAAGAAAAAGACGUGCACAGUCCAAAAGGCACUCCUGAACAAUUUUUGGGUCAGCCAAAUAAACACCCAGCACGGCCUAUCCUUGGGGCACAUCCAGGAGUUCGCCCUCCUUUGGGAAAGGGUGUCUAGGAUCAACCUUGUUGCGGGUGUCCGUGAUACUAUCCUAUGGAAGCUCAGUACAAGUGGCGAGUAUUCCGCUUCUUCGGCCUACAUGGCGCAGUUCGAGGGCCAUCUCAGGAGCAACAUGAACAUGAUAAAGGAGGAGGCUCGUAUUUGGGCGCUAGACAGCUGUGUAAUGUAA